rnacentral:tRNA from 1 species
UUGUAGCCUCGUUAACAGGGAGUACCCCUUACUGCC